rfam:Brassica oleracea var. oleracea cultivar TO1000 chromosome C5, whole genome shotgun sequence
GGAAGUUAAGAAACUGUUUUUUAAUUUUUAACUAAAAAAAUGAAGAACCGGUUCUUAAAGUCUUUAUUUAAGAACCGGUUCUUAACUUUUUUAGCUAAAAGUUAAGAAACAGUUUCUUAACUUCC